rnacentral:rRNA from 1 species
AACGAACGCUGGCGGCGUGGCUAAGACAUGCAAGUCGAACGGGUGUAGCAAUACACCAGUAGCGGACGGGUGAGUAAUGUAUCGCUAACGUGCCCUGGAGACAGGGAUAGCUGUCCGAAAGGACAGGUAAUACCAGAUGAAGUAACCCCGAGGCAUCUCGGAGGUUCCCAAAGGCCGAAAGGCGCUCUUGGUGCGGGCGAUAUCGUAUCAGCUUGUUGGUGAGGUAACGGCUCACCAAGGCGACGACGCGUAGCUGGUCUGAGAGGACGAUCAGCCACAUUGGGACUGAGACACUGCCCAGACUCCGUACGGGGGCUGCAGUAACGAAUCUUCCGCAAUGCACGAAAGUGUGACGGAGCGACGCCGCGUGGAGGACGAA